CCUUGAUCUAUUCGAUACAAUGACUGGAACCACGCUCCAGCCGCCCAUCGCAGGUCCUUUCGCCGCCGCUGAUCUAUUCGCUAUAUCGACAGAAACCACGCCCUGGCCGCCAUCACGGAUCCCUUUGCCGGCGCCCAGAUCCUAGAGGUGCCGCCGCCGAGCGCUUGUCGCUCGCCCCCGCCCGUCUCUCCCUCCUCGGCGUUGGCAGCUUCGAGUCCUUCAGACAGUGUGCCCCAGUCGCUCCCGUUCCUCCUCUGCUGUGACCUCCUACUGGGCGCCUCGGCCACGGUUGACCUCUUCUCCUUCCCCGAUCUCCUCGCGUCCGCCGCCGCUGCCCGGGGAGCAUGCCGAUCGCAGGUCGUCCUGGAGGUCACGGCUAGGGAGUUCGUCCCCAAGAUGUCGCAGGAGGCUGUGGCGCAGAUGGGCCAAGAGGAGCAGGGGCACCUUGCACUUGCCGGUCAAGCAGCUUGCAGAAUUCCGUCUGGCUACUCGAGCAGGUUCGCCGUUCUUGUUGUUCUUGCGUGUCAAGACUCUUGGCUGCAGACUUGCAGAUAUCAAGUACGAGUCAAUGCUUAAUUUUUGUCACGUUUCUUACUCACCACUGUUAUUUCUAGCAUCCAACAUACACGAAUUGAAUAGACCAACGGCAUUACAUGUUUCAUAAGCAUGUUUCUAAAUGCUAAUUAGCAGUUCUCAGUUCUGCAGAUACACUAUGAUUGCAGCGGGUGUUGGAAAAAAUCAUCCGAUGGUCGUGAGUGACGAAGGAAGUGCUUUGUAUUUGGUGACUGCUGGGGACGAGUUCACUAAGGAGUGGUUGACUCCCUCUCCUGUUGCUUUUUUAUGGUUGAUAGAUGACACAACUAGAAGUGCAGCAAAUACAACUUAUAUUGUCACCUGUUCUUAGAAUCUACCUGUUUCGGUGAUAAUGAAACCAAUAAAAAUAUUUAUGACAUGAGCAUACAUAACUUAUAUUGUUUAGGACGAUGGGGCAGUUCUGACAAUUUAUGGGAAUUUGACCAUAUGCGAAACUCAUUUUCCCACUGUGUUCUUACACUGCUGUUAUUUUUGUGUUGUCCCUGACUCCGUGUUGUUCCAAAUUUGGUGCGGGGACUAAGGUGUCGCCACUCCCCUGCCUUGUUACUAAAGCAACUAAUGUUGUUUGUGGUGCCGACUUCACUAAUCUAAUUGUCAUCGGUUGAGGGAUCUUCCGUACUGUAAGGCCUUCCUGAAACUAUUAAACUUAAAGAUUAGCACGUUUUUUUCUUUCAGAUAAAGCAAGCUUUGAUCAUCUUCUCAUCAUAACAACUUUAGAUUAUUAUCUGCUUUGGCUGUAAUUAGUGGGGUUUUUCCUUUGUCAUUUCUUUUAAGAUGUGUUUAGUUCUUUUGUGCUAUUCAGUACAUCAGGACUUCCUCGGUAUGGCCAACUUGGUCAUGGAAGCGAAUCAGGUUGGUUGCUACUAUGUUAACACACGAAACCUACUAAAUUUGCCACGCUGGAGGCGGGGAAACCUAGACCUAUGCUAAUUGAUUUAAUUAAUUAUUAUUAUUCGUUGGGCGUCCGAACAAGCAGCUGAGCGUUGGACAUGGCCUUAUGCCUCCGAAUAAUAUGUUCAUACCCCAUAAGUUCUUUGGAAUAUUCAUACAUCCAGUUCAGUACUAUUUUCCAUAUUUUAACUUUACAUACUGUUUUUUUAUUAUCUGAUGUUCAUUAUAAGUACCAGUCAAAAAACUGUUAAUUAUAAGUGCAUAGCAUAGCCCUAUAUUUAUUAUAUUCGGUGACCUUUUUUAUGAAAAUCAUUGCUACGAGUCACCAUUUUAUAUUUGGUGCUCAUACCCUAAACCUUUUGUAUUUGCAAGAUCACUCCUUAAUGCUAAGAGGGGAGAGAUGAUUUUAGGGAUAUUUUUGUCAAAGGAGAACAUUGACAAAAACAAUGAAUACAAGGAGCUUGCAGCCAUGAUGGAAUGAAUCUUUGCGUGGCAGCCUGCUUACUGCCCAGAUAGUGAGCCCCUGAGCUCCUGAAGAAAGGACAGUUGAAGGAGAUGAAAGAAGCGAACACAAAGGAUCCUACGCCAAAGAAUGAAGAGGCCGGGGAAAUGAUUGAAGGGGGUGCGUGGAGGACAUGUGCAUGGCGGAAGCUGGCGUGAUGACUGCGAAGGUCAAAGGAGAGAAGGCUCGCACUAGACUCAUUUUGGAGUCUCUGGACAGGCACAUCGCGCAUCAACCUUGGGUGAUUUAAGUGAGGGUGGUUCUAUAUUUUCCUCCCUCUUAUUUCUGUCAAUGACUAAAGAUAGAUGAUUAGGGAAUUUUUUUAUCGAUUGCCAUGGAUUACUGGAAAUUUUCAGCGAGGUAAAACAAAGGUGAUAUCUUGAGGAUCUAAUGCUUUGAAUUGUCUAACAACGCGCUUAAUGAUGAUCUCUAUUAUUAAAGAGGGAGCGUGUACAUAGUUGUUCGUUCCCUACUUCACUUUGCUUCCGCCUCCCAUCAUGUAAUUUAUUUGCUGAAAUCUGUAUUCAAUGAUGCUCUUGUGUCUAAUACUUAGCCCUGUUUUAAUGCAUAGGCUAUCCCAGGAAAUUCUGUGCUCUGAACAUGGGUUUAAACAAUCCUG
rnacentral:rRNA from 1 species